rnacentral:misc_RNA from 1 species
UCUCCGUUGGUGGACCAGCGGAGGGAUCAUUACCGAGUUUACAACUCCCAAACCCAAUGUGAACCAUACCAAACUGUUGCCUCGGCGGGGUCACGCCCCGGGUGUGUCGCAGCCCCGGAACCAGGCGCCCGCCGGAGGGACCAACCAAACUCUUUCUGUAGUCCCCUCGCGGACGUUAUUUUUACAGCUCUGAGCAAAAAUUCAAAAUGAAUCAAAACUUUUAACAACGGAUCUCUUGGUUCUG